GACGAACGCUGGCGGCGUGCUUAACACAUGCAAGUCGAACGGAAAGUCCCUGCUUUGGGGCGGUGCUCUAGUGGCGAACGGGUGAGUAACACUUGAGUAACCUGCCCUUGACUUUGGGAUAACUUCAUGACACUGGGUCUAAUACCGGAUAGGAGCUCCUGCUGCAUGGUGGGGGUUGGAAAGUUUCGGCGGUUGGGGAUGGACUCGCGGCUUAUCAGCUUGUUGGUUGGGUAGUGGCUUACCAAGGCUUUGACGGGUAGCCGGCCUGAGAGGGUGACCGGCCACAUUGGGACUGAGAUACGGCCCAGACUCCUCCGGGAGGCAGCAGUGGGGAAUAUUGCACAAUGCGCGGAAGCCUGAUGCAGCAACGCCGCGUGCGGGAUGACGGCCUUCGGGUUGUAAACCGCUUUCGCCUGUGACGAAGCGUGAGUGACGGUAAUGGGUAAAGAAGCACCGGCUAACUACGUG
rnacentral:rRNA from 1 species